rnacentral:rRNA from 1 species
AGCGAACGCUGGCGGCAGGCUUAACACAUGCAAGUCGAACGGGCACUUCGGUGCUAGUGGCAGACGGGUGAGUAACACGUGGGAACGUACCUUUUGGUUCGGAAUAAUUCAGGGAAACUUGGACUAAUACCGGAUACGCCCUUCGGGGGAAAGAUUUAUCGCCGAAAGAUCGGCCCGCGUCUGGUUAGCUAGUUGGUGAGGUAAUGGCUCACCAAGGCGACGAUCAGUAGCUGGUCUGAGAGGAGGAUCAGCCACACUGGGACUGAGACACGGCCCAGACUCCUACGGGAGGCAGCAGUGGGGAAUAUUGGACAAUGGGCGCAAGCCUGAUCCAGCCAUGCCGCGUGUGUGAUGAAGGCCUUAGGGUUGUAAAGCACUUUUGUCCGGGAAGAUAAUGACUGUACCGGAAGAAUAAGCCCCGGCUAACUUCGUGCCAGCCGCCGCCGUAAGAC